GUAGGUGGCAAGCGUUGUCCGGAAUUAUUGGGCGUAAAGCGCGCGCAGGCGGUUCUUUAAGUCUGAUGUGAAAGCCCACGGCUCAACCGUGGAGGGUCAUUGGAAACUGGAGAACUUGAGUACAGAAGAGGAAAGCGGAAUUCCACGUGUAGCGGUGAAAUGCGUGGAGAUGUGGAGGAACACCAGUGGCGAAGGCGGCUUUCUGGUCUGUAACUGACGCUGAGGCGCGAAAGCGUGGGGAGCAAACAGGAUUAGAUACCCUGGUAGUCCACGCCGUAAACGAUGAGUGCUAAGUGUUAGGGGGUUUCCGCCCCCCUUAGUGCUGCAGCUAACGCAUUAAGCACUCCGCCUGGGAGUACGGCCGCAAGGCUG
rnacentral:rRNA from 1 species